rnacentral:lncRNA from 1 species
CAUUUCCAAGCCUUCUUUACAACUAAAAUAUAAGUACGUGAAUGCAGUGUCAGCCAAAUGCAAAGAGCCCAGACUUUGAAUCAGAGAAGCCAUGAAGUGAAGUGGGGACUGUGCAGAAUUCAUUUUGGUGAGGCUGCCUGCAGACACACCCAAUUCCCAAAAGCAGCAGUGGCAACAGUUCCAGCAGCUGUAUUUCAUAUCUAGGAUUGUGUCUGUGGGUCAAGAAUUCAGAGUAGCGCAGCUGAGUGGCCAUGGCUCAGAGUCCCUCAGGAGUUUGCAGUCAAGGCCUUAGAUGGAGCUGCAAUCAUCUGAAGGUGUGACUCGAGAUGGAGGGCCUGCUUCCAGUGCAGAUGGAGUGGCUCACUGACAUGGCUGAAUCCGGCCAACUUCCCAGCACAUAGUAGGUUCUUAGUAAAUGUUUAGUGAGCACACGAACAAUGAAUAAUAUGUGACUCUGAGCAGUAAGGGGAGCCAAAGUCCUCGACAGUUAUCAACAGAUCAUAUUGAAUGGAGUGGACCUGAAGAAGACAAACUCAGUUCUCAGGAGGGAGUUACUGCAGG